AGUGAACGCUGGCGGCGUGCCUAACACAUGCAAGUCGAACGGCAGCACAGUAAGAGUUUGCUCUUAAGGGUGGCGAGUGGCGGACGGGUGAGGAGUGUAUCGGACUCUUCUUUUUCGUGGGGGAUCACGUAGGGAAAGUUACGAUAUACCGCAAACGACUUACGGGUGAAGGCAGGGGAUCAUAGGCGGUGGCGCGGUUGAAUGUGGCGGUGUCGGAUUAGCUUGUUGGGGGGGUAAAGGCCUACGAAGGCGACGAUCCGUAGCUGAUCUGAGAGGAUGAUCAGCCACACUGGAACUGAGACACGGUCCAGACUCCUACGGGAGGCAGCAGUCGGGAAUAUUCGGCAAUGGGCGCAAGCCUGAUCCAGCCAUACCGCGUGAGUGAAGAAGGCCUUCGGGUUGUAAAGCCCUUUUGUUGGGAAAGAACAGCUGCAGAUUAAGACCCCGCUGUUCUGACGGUACCCAAAAAAGAAGCACCGGCUAACUACGUG
rnacentral:rRNA from 1 species